rnacentral:rRNA from 1 species
UAACGAGCGAGACUCUGGCCUACUAAAUAGUUGGCACAUUGCCACUGUGUGCACAACUUCUUAGAGGGAUUUUCGGUGUUCAGCCGCACGAAAUUGAGCAAUAACAGGUCUGUGAUGCCCUAGAUGUCCGGGGCUGCACGCGCGCUACACUGGCAAAAUCAGCGUGCUUGUCCUCCCCCGAAAGGGGUUGGUAAACCGAUGAAAAUUUGCCGUGAUUGGGAUCGGACAUUGCAAUUAUUGUCCGUGAACGAGGAAUCCCUCGUAAGGGCGAGUCAUCAACUCGUCCUGAAUACGUCCCUGCCCUUUGUACACACCGCCCGUCGCUGCCCGGGACUGAGCCAUUUCGAGAAAACCGGGGAUUGUUGGCCUGACCGCUCUCGGGUUGUCUAGCCGAUGAGAACCGGCUUAAUCGCACUGGUUUGAACCGGGCAAAAGUCGUAACAAGGUAGCUGUAGGUGAACCUGCUGCUGGAUCAUUAC